rnacentral:lncRNA from 1 species
CUAGGACACACUUCUGCCUUUGGACAUUACUCUCCAGGUUCUUCAGUCUUUGGACUCUGGGACCUGCACCAGUGGCCCCACAGGUUCUCAGGUCUUUGGCCUCAGACUAAGAGGGAUACCAUCUGCCUCUCUGGUUCUGUGGCUUCAGACUUGGACUGAGCUACACUACUGGCUUCCCUGGCUCUACAGCUGACAGAGACUUUGCCAAGUUCCCCAAUAUAUCCCCUCUCAUACAUCCACAGACAGUUGGUCCUCCAUAUCUGCAGGUCCUGCUACAGCAGAUUCAACCAACCACAGGUCCAAAUAUUCUAAAAAAAUAAAAUAAAAUUGUGUCUGUACAGAAUGUAUACAUAUUUUUCUUGUCAUUGUCUCUGCAUCACAUCGGGUAUUUGAAGUAGGCUAGAUUUAGAAUAAACUAGAUCCCUAUCUCACCAAUUACAAAGCUCAACCCAAAAUGGAUUCAAGGCUUAAAUGUAAAACCCAAAACUAUAAAACUAUUAGGAAAAAAACAUGGAGAAAGACUGUGAGAUGUUAGAAUAGGCAAAGAUUUGAAGGGGACCCCAAAAGCAACACAGGGAACAAAAGCAAAAACAGAUGAAUGGUAAUACAUCGAACUACAAUGCUACAUAGAAAAGGAAACAAUCAACGGAGUCUAGACACAACCUAUGGAAUGAGAAAAUAUUUGCAAAGUAAAUAUCUGAUAAGGGUUGCAUCCAGAAUAUAUAAGGAACUCUAAAAGCUCAAUAGCAAAAAUAUAAAUUACCUGAUUUUAAAAUGGGCCAUGGACCUAAACAGACUUUUCUCAAAAGAAAGCAUACAAAUAAUAAUUAUAUGAAAAAAAUUCUCUACAUCACUAAUAAUCAGGGAAACACAAAUCAAAACUGCCAUGAGACAUCACUCACCCUAGCAAGAAAGGUCAUUGCCAAAAUGAUCAACAAAAAUGCAUAUUGGUGGAGAUGUGGAGGAACUAGAACACUUGCACAGUGUUGAUGGGAAUGUAAAUUAGUACAGCCACUAUGGAAAACAGGAUAGAGGUUCCUCAGAAAACCAGAAAUAGAACUACCCCAUGAUCCAGAAAUCCCACUAUUGGGUCCAAAAGAAAUGAAGCCAGUAGUUCAGAGAAGCAUCUGAAUUCCUAUGUUCCUUGCUACUCACAAUAGCCAAGAAAUUGCAGCAACCCAGGUGUACAUUCACUGAUGAAUGGAUAAAGAAAACAUGGUACAUAUACACCCGGCAUGCAAUUCAGUCACAAAAAAGAAUGGAAUCCUAUCAUUUGCAACAAGCAUGAAUGGAAUCAGAGGUCAUUGUUUUAGUGAAGUGAGCCAGAGAGACAGGCACAGAGAGACAGCAUGGCGGGGCUAUUGUGGAGCACUUCCUAGAUCAGGUUGUAGCAGAUAUGGUGGUUUUUAUCUUGGUUGCUUCGUGGCCCUCAUUGGAUGAUCUCCAUCUCUGAAUCAGGAACUAGGAGGAACAGGACCUGGGAAUCUGUACUUACCCAAGCCUUCUGGGUAAUGGUGAUUAUUAUCACAAUUGCUAUGUAUUCAAGUUGGAGACCUGUUGGAAUAGCUAGUCACAUUAUCCUCACAGCUUUCCUGUGAUCAGAAGAGCAGUGCACUGCCUGGCAUUUGAGGACUGUCAACUAUGAGACCCAGAGUCAAGGUCAGGGCCAGUGGUAUCUCUGACUCACCCAUAACAAUGGAUUCAUCCCAGUUUUUACAAUUAAUUCAAUUUUUUCCUCCUUGGGCCAGGCAUCAGAAUCAUCUGUGGGGUUCCAGAAAUGCAGGUGGCUAGCUUUACCUCAUGCCAGUUAAGGCAGGAGCUCUGCAGAAUGAGUACUGAGAAGGGGGGUGUGGAAUAAAUCCAAGGCCUAAACUCAUGCUAGCUAAGUUAGCUAAGUGUUUUACCACUAAGCUGCACCCUUAGCUCCAGGAAUUUGUAUUUUUAAAGGCUACCAGGUGAUGCCAAUGUAGAGCCAGGGUCGAAAAUCACUGGUGGCCAUUAUUUCAGAAGUUCUCAUCCUUAUGUUUAAUAAUGAGGGUUCUAAUCAACAUAUUGCUGACACAUGAGGGUCUCAGUUUCCUCUUCUUAAAUACAAACACCAUAGACAAGAGCCAGCCCUGACCAGUGCUCUUACCCUGAGUGUCCUCCACCUGGUCACCACUAUGGUGAGUCCUAGGGAUGUGGUGGAGGAAUCUCUCUGCCCACAGAUCAGGACAGUCACUUCUCACUAAUGACUUUCAAUACUUCACCUGGUGAGGAGGUGCGACAGGAAGCAGGGAAUGGGAGAGAGUUGUGGGUGUACUUUUCUCAGGAAGGUCAGCCAAGGCUUAUUCUUUGUAGCCUAUUUGGUAGCAGGCCCUUCAUUUCACCCAGGUUUCUCCAUUAACUGGCAGACAUGUACUAAUUAUCCUCUGAUAAUUUUUCCUUGGUGAUCAUUUCCUCGUUCUCUAUUCAACUUUGUGGAAUCUCCUUUUUGUCUUAAUUAGGCUACCUGGUGGUUUAGUGACUACAUUAGUUUCUUAAAGAAACAUCACUUCAUUUUAUUUAUUGCUUCCAUGCAUUUUCACCUUCGAUUUUAUUAUUCUUCUCCAUUGGGUGGCUUUUAUUAGGGUUAUUUGGUAUUUAAAUAUGUUUUCUAAUUAGAAGUAUAAAUAAAUUUUUGUGUGCAUCUAGUUGACCUACUUCUGAUACAUGCUUGAGUUGUAUUUAGUCAUCUGCCAUUUGUUUCCAUGUAUUCAUAAUUUUUCCAGCUUAAAUGACACUUUUGCUCCCACUGUUCUCUCCCCAUUCAUUUUUUUCCAGACAGAAGACUAAGAGCAUUUUUUUUUUGGGGGGGGUGUUAAUUCAUUCAGAAAUAACAAUAAUCAUAACUGCAUGACAUAUGGGGAUGUAUAUGAGAAUUAAAAUGUAGACUGCUUUCCUGUUCAAUUCCAUAUUAAGUUUAAUCAUCCAUCCAUUUAUUCUCUCUAAACAUUAAUGGAGUGUCUACUGCUUGCCAAAGACUGUGAGAUGAGAGACCAGAUUCCCUCCAAGGCGACCCUUGCAUUCUAUUGG